rnacentral:rRNA from 1 species
GAUGAACGCUAGCGGCAGGCCUAAUACAUGCAAGUCGAACGAGAUUGUUGUAGCAAUAUGACAUGAAAGUGGCGCACGGGUGCGUAACACGUAUGCAAUCUACCUUUGAUUGGGGGAUAGCUUCGAGAAAUCGGAAUUAAUACCCCAUAACAUAAUUGAAUGGCAUCAUUUGAUUAUCAACCUUCCGGGGAUCAAAGAUGAGCAUGCGCAACAUUAGCUAGUUGGUAAGGUAAUGGCUUACCAAGGCUACGAUGUUUAGGGGGUCUGAGAGGAUGACCCCCCACACUGGUACUGAGACACGGACCAGACUCCUACGGGAGGCAGCAGUAGGGAAUAUUGGUCAAUGGAGGAAACUCUGAACCAGCCAUGCCGCGUGCAGGAUGACGGCCCUCUGGGUUGUAAACUGCUUUUAUACGGGAAGAAAAAGAGCUACGUGUAGCUUAUUGACGGUACCGUAAGAAUAAGGAUCGGCUAACUCCGUGCCAGCAGCCGCAGUAAAAC